CCUACGGGAGGCAGCAGUGGGGAAUAUUGGGCAAUGGGCGCAAGCCUGACCCAGCAACGCCGCGUGAAGGAAGAAGGCUUUCGGGUUGUAAACUUCUUUUGACAGGGAAGAGUAGAAGACGGUACCUGUCGAAUAAGCCACGGCUAACUACGUGCCAGCAGCCGCGGUAAUACGUAGGUGGCAAGCGUUGUCCGGAUUUACUGGGUGUAAAGGGCGUGUAGCCGGGUUGACAAGUCAGAUGUGAAAGCCUGGGGCUUAACCGCAGAACUGCAUUUGAAACUGUUGAUCUUGAGUACUGGAGAGGCAGACGGAAUGCCUAGUGUAGCGGUGAAAUGCGUAGAUAUUAGGAGGAACACCAGUGGCGAAGGCGGCCUGCUGGACAGCAACUGACGGUGAGGCGCGAAAGCGUGGGGAGCAAACAGGAUUAGAUACCCGAGUAGUC
rnacentral:rRNA from 1 species